UACAGAGGGGGCAAGCGUUGUUCGGAAUUACUGGGCGUAAAGGGCGCGUAGGCGGCCUGCUAAGUCGAACGUGAAAUCCCUGGGCUCAACCCAGGAACUGCGUCCGAUACUGGUUGGCUUGAAUCCGAGAGAGGGACGUGGAAUUCCUGGUGUAGCGGUGAAAUGCGCAGAUAUCAGGAAGAACACCCGUGGCGAAGGCGGCUCUCUGGGACGUGACUGACGCUGAGACGCGAAAGCGUGGGGAGCGAACAGG
rnacentral:rRNA from 1 species